rnacentral:pre_miRNA from 1 species
AGUGCAAUUGCUGGGUCAUAGGGUAACUCUAUGUUUAACUUUUUGAGGAGCUGCCACAGUAUUUUCUAAAGUGGCUGAACCAUUUGACAAUCCCAUCAGCAAU